rnacentral:rRNA from 1 species
UACGUAGGGCGCAAGCGUUGUCCGGAAUUAUUGGGCGUAAAGAGUCUCUGAUGAGCGGUUUGUCGCGUCUGCCGUGAAAACCCGAGGCUUAACCUCGUGGCUUGCGGUGGAUACGGGCAGACUAGAGGUAGGUAGGGGAGAAUGGAAUUCCCGGUGUAGCGGUGAAAUGCGCAGAUAUCGGGAAGAACACCCGUGGCGAAGGCGGUUCUCUGGGACGGUACUGACGCUGAGACGCGAAAGCGUGGGGAGCGAACAGG